rnacentral:rRNA from 1 species
UACGAAGGGGGCUAGCGUUGCUCGGAAUUACUGGGCGUAAAGGGCGCGUAGGCGGCUCUGUUAGUCCAGGCGUGAAAGUUCCUGGGCUCAACCUGGGGACUGCGCUUGAUACGGCGGGGCUUGAGGAUGGAAGAGGGUCGCGGAAUUCCCAGUGUAGAGGUGAAAUUCGUAGAUAUUGGGAAGAACACCGGUGGCGAAGGCGGCUCUCUGGACCGAGGACU